rnacentral:rRNA from 1 species
AUUGAACGCUGGCGGCAGGCCUAACACAUGCACGUCGAACGAGUGGCGGACGGGUGAGUAAUGUCUGAGAAACUGCCUGAUGGAGGGGGAUAACUACUGGAAACGGUAGCUAAUACCGCAUACCAUCAGAUGUGCCCAGAUUGGCUUAGCUGGUUGGUGGGGUAACGGCUCACCAAGGCGACGAUCCCUAGCUGGUCUGAGAGGAUGACCGGCAACACUGGAACUGGGACACGGUCCAGACUCCUACGGGAGGCAGCAGUGGGGAAGAGUGAACAAUGGGCGCAAGCCUGAUGCAGCCAUGCCGCGUGUAUGAAGAAGGCCUUCGGGUUGUAAAGGACUUUCAGCGGGGAGGCGUUACCCGCAGAAGAAGCACCGGCUAACUCCGUGCCAGCAGCCGCGGUAAUUC